rnacentral:rRNA from 1 species
UACAGAGGUCUCAAGCGUUGUUCGGAUUCAUUGGGCGUAAAGGGUGCGUAGGUGGCCUGGUAAGUCGGAUGUGAAAUCCCGGGGCUCAACCCCGGAACUGCAUUCGAUACUGCUGCGCUAGAGUACUGGAGAGGAGAUUGGAAUUUACGGUGUAGCAGUGAAAUGCGUAGAUAUCGUAAGGAAGACCAGUGGCGAAGGCGGAUCUCUGGACAGUUACUGACACUGAGGCACGAAGGCCAGGGGAGCAAACGGG